UACGAAGGGGGGCUAGCGUUGCUCGGAAUGACUGGGCGUAAAGCGCACGUAGGCGGAUUUGUAAGUCAGGGGUGAAAUCCCGGGGCUCAACCUCGGAACUGCCUUUGAUACUGCGAAUCUUGAGUCCGAUAGAGGUGGGUGGAAUUCCUAGUGUAGAGGUGAAAUUCAUAGAUAUUAGGAAGAACACCGGUGGCGAAGGCGGCCCACUGGAUCGGUACUGGACGCUGAGGUGCGAAAGCGUGGGGAGCAAACAGG
rnacentral:rRNA from 1 species